CCGCGGGCCGGCGGGGAGGGCGGGCCGGACCAUCGGGCCGGCCGGGGCGCGACCUGGCGCAGUUGCCACAGCACAGAGGCGAGCCUUGGGCAGCCGUAGGAAUGCAGUUCAGAAAGGAAACAAGUAUCACACCGGAACCGCCCGAUGCCUUCAAAGCCGCUGAGCGAGAAAAGCGACAUCAGACUUCCAUCCCGGUUUUACACGACUUCUAUACGGUGUGUUGGCUUACAUCCAAGAGCAGAAGUUAAGGCUGUCUCUAUUUUUGGUGAACAGCUGCAUGGGUCAUGAUUAUGAUGAGGGAACGGAGGACUAGCUGAGGACAAGGCACAUCGACAAGUCCUUGAAAAGGCAGAGGGACCUUCCUCUACGGACUCAGCUGCCUGGAUGUUCAUACCUCGCUAAGGGCAGAAGGCAACCUCAGCCCGACCCCCAGGAGCCUGGAAGUCUACUUUAACAUAUAAAAAUUUCUUUAGAAAUGGUCCUUUAUCGGGCAGCUCUGGUGGCUCAACGGUUUAGUG